GCCCAGGUGGCGGAAUUGGUAGACGCGCUAGAUUCAGGGUCUAGUACCGGCAACGGUGUGGAGGUUCGAGUCCUCUCCUGGGCA
rnacentral:tRNA from 1 species